UUCCUACGGGGGGCAGCAGUGGGGAAUAUUGCACAAUGGGGGAAACCCUGAUGCAGCGACGCCGCGUGAGUGAGGAAGUAUUUCGGUAUGUAAAGCUCUAUCAGCAGGGAAGAAAAAAUGACGGUACCUGACUAAGAAGCACCGGCUAAAUACGUGCCAGCAGCCGCGGUAAUACGUAUGGUGCAAGCGUUAUCCGGAUUUACUGGGUGUAAAGGGAGCGCAGGCGGUACGGCAAGUCUGAUGUGAAAGCCCGGGGCUCAACCCCGGGACUGCUUUGGCAACUGCCUGACUGGAGUGCUGGAGAG
rnacentral:rRNA from 1 species